rnacentral:lncRNA from 1 species
UAUUCUGUAACAUAAUAGGAAAAACUUCAAAAACCCUCCCUAUAGUUUUGUAGUUUUUUAUUUUGCCUCCAUGUGAUUUAAAGUGUAUCAAUUUGUCCUCCUGUGGUUUCGUUUUUAUUUUUUCAGUAGCUUUUUCGUUAAUAUUUUAUUAAUUAUAUACAAAAAACUUCAGAUACCUAUCUAGAUUUAUCAAAUAUUCACUUUAGUACCCUUUAAUUUUAACUUUAUCACUGAUUUAAGAAAAAAAUAAUAAUAAAAUUGAUACGAAAAAGAGAAAAAAGAAAUCACAUGGGAGCAAAUUGAUACAUUUUAAACCACAGGGGGACAAAUUGAUACAUUUUAAACCACAUAGGGGCAAAGUGAGAAUCUAUGAAACCACAGGGGGUU